AUUGAACGCUGGCGGCAUGCCUUACACAUGCAAGUCGAUCGGCAGCACGGGAGCAAUCCUGGUGGCGAGUGGCGAACGGGUGAGUAAAGUAUCGGAACGUGCCCAGUCGUGGGGGAUAACGUAGCGAAAGUUACGCUAAUACCGCAUACGAUCUAUGGAUGAAAGCGGGGGAUCGCAAGACCUCGCGCGAUUGGAGCGGCCGAUAUCAGAUUAGGUAGUUGGUGGGGUAAAGGCUCACCAAGCCGACGAUCUGUAGCUGGUCUGAGAGGACGGCCAGCCACACUGGGACUGAGACACGGCCCAGACUCCUACGGGAGGCAGCAGUGGGGAAUUUUGGACAAUGGGCGCAAGCCUGAUCCAGCCAUGCCGCGUGCAGGAUGAAGGCCUUCGGGUUGUAAACUGCUUUUGUACGGAACGAAAAGGUUUGACUUAAUACGUUGGACUCAUGACGGUACCGUAAGAAUAAGCACCGGCUAACUACGUGCCAGCCGCCGCUGUAA
rnacentral:rRNA from 1 species